AACGUAGGACACAAGCGUUAUCCGGAAUUACUGGGCGUAAAGCGUGCGCAGGCGGUGAGCUGUGUCCGAUGUGAAAGCCCCGGGCUUAGCCUGGGAAUGGCAUUGGAAACUGGCUCGCUGGAGUGUGGCAGAGGGGGGUGGAAUUCCGCGUGUAGCAGUGAAAUGCGUAGAGAUGCGGAGGAACACCGAUGGCGAAGGCAGCCCCCUGGGCUAACACUGACGCUCAGGCACGAAAGCGUGGGGAGCAAACAGG
rnacentral:rRNA from 1 species